rnacentral:rRNA from 1 species
UACAGAGGGUGCGAGCGUUAUCCGGUUUCACUGGGUUUAAAGGGUGCGUAGGAGGGCAGGGAAGUCAGUGGUGAAAUCUUGGGGCUUAACCCCGAAACUGCCGUUGAUACUCUCUGUCUUGAAUCCCGUGGAGGUGAGCGGAAUAUGUCAUGUAGCGGUGAAAUGCUUAGAUAUGACAUAGAACACCAAUUGCGAAGGCAGCUCGCUACACGAAGAUUGACUCUGAGGCACGAAAGCGUGGGGAUCAAACAGG